CACGUAGGGCGCGAGCGUUGUCCGGAAUUAUUGGGCGUAAAGAGCUCGUAGGCGGCCUGUUGCGUCCGCUGUGAAAUCCCGGGGCUCAACCCCGGGCCUGCAGUGGAUACGGGCUGGCUAGAGGCAGGCAGGGGAGAACGGAAUUCCUGGUGUAGCGGUGAAAUGCGCAGAUAUCAGGAGGAACACCAGUGGCGAAGGCGGCCAUCUGGAUCAACACUGACGCUGAGGCACGAAAGCGUGGGGAGCAAACAGG
rnacentral:rRNA from 1 species